AAGUGCUGAGGCUGGGACGCGCCCUUGCCCCCCUUCAAUGAUCCCGGUGGGAUCGUGUUGCCUUUCUGUGAGGGAGGGGGUGUUGGAUUUUCGGAAGUAACGCCUCAGUCGUGCACCUGUGUUCGUGCGCGCGGGUAUAACGCCUUGGUUUUUCCGUUGAUACUUAAGAAGGUACAACAACCCCUCCUGUUGGCCCGCAGGCCCUGUGGGACAGCGAGAAAAGUCCCCUGAGGCCCGGGGGAGGCUGCGGUGUCCCGGGUUUAGCCUAGCGGAAGGGCUGGACUCCCUCUCCCAGCGCGCACCGCGGCACCGCUCACGCCCCCUGCCUUGGAGCGCACCGGGUGGAGGAGAUGCCGCGGCCGCGCCUUCCGGCUUCAAGUCCCCCCGCCGCCCCUGAAUUGGUAGGCUCCACCGCCGCGGCCGCCGGCUUUCCUGCCCACGCGGCUGGGCACUUCCAAAGCGCAAGCGGGGGAGGGAGAUGAGGUGAGGGGAACGGUGAGAAAGUCCUAGGGCAGCUUAUCUUGAGACGUCGCUUCCAGAUUCAUCCGCAGUUCACCGAAAUGGGCUCUAUUUCCGUGUCGAAUUAAAAUGUUUGCGUAACCCAAACAAAAAGUAUUCCUUUGGGUCCUCCCCUUGUCACGUAGGCGCUGGGCUGGCCCAGCGCGCCCCAUCACGUUCCCACUCCCACACGCAAAGGUGUGUGCGUAGCCUUCUCUCUCGAGGUCGCUCCACCCUGCAGCGCUCGGGUUGGUGCAGCCCUGUCCCCCCGGGGGUGAAUGGUCCGGCCCCUGGCUCCUCAGCCUCCCCCACUUUCACCGAGUCGGAGUGGUACACGGCCCGCGGUGCAGACGCGGAACUGGCGCGCGCUCCGAGCGGCGCCCGCGCCGAGGAGCGACUGACGCUCGGCUGCCGGGGGACGUCUGGCCGAACCUGGCCGGUCCCCCGAGGCUCGGGAGACUUGGAUUUUCGGAUAAUAUCAGAAUUCCUCCUGGGAACACUGAUUCCAUGCUUGGUGCCUUGAAGUUUCUCUGAGAUGAACUGAUGAAUCGGAACCAUGGUGCAAAAGAAGAAGUCCUGUCCACGGUUACUUGACUACCUAGUGAUCGUAGGGGCCAGGCACCCGAGCAGUGAUAGCGUGGCCCAGACUCCAGAAUUGCUACGGCGAUACCCGUUAGAGGAUCAC